rnacentral:rRNA from 1 species
CACCGGCGGCUCGAGUGGUGGCCACUUUUAUUGGGUCUAAAGCGUCCGUAGCCGGCUUAGCAAGUCCCCUGGGAAAUCUGGCGGCUUAACCGUCAGGCGUCCAGAGGAUACUGCCAGGCUUGGGACCGGGAGAGGUGAGAGGUACCUCAGGGGUAGGGGUGAAAUCUUGUGAUCCCUGAGGGACCACCAGUGGCGAAGGCGUCUCACUAGAACGGGUCCGACGGUCAGGGACGAAAGCUGGGGGCACGAACCGG